GACGAACGCUGGCGGCGUGCUUAACACAUGCAAGUCGAACGGAAAGGCCCCUUUGGGGGUCCUCGAGUGGCGAACGGGUGAGUAACACGUGAGUAACCUGCCCUUGACUUCGGGAUAACUUCAGGAAACUGGGGCUAAUACCGGAUAGGAAUCCUUGCUGCAUGGUGGGGGUUGGAAAGCUUCGGCGGUUUUGGAUGGACUCGCGGCUUAUCAGCUUGUUGGUGGGGUAGUGGCUUACCAAGGCUUUGACGGGUAGCCGGCCUGAGAGGGCGACCGGCCACAUUGGGACUGAGAUACGGCCCAGACUACUACGGGAGGCAGCAGUGGGGAAUAUUGCACAAUGGGCGGAAGCCUGAUGCAGCAACGCCGCGUGCGGGAUGACGGCCUUCGGGUUGUAAACCGCUUUCAGCAGGGGCGAAGCUUGUGGUGACGGUACCUGCAGAAGAAGCACCGGCUAACUACGUG
rnacentral:rRNA from 1 species